rnacentral:rRNA from 1 species
UACAGAGGGGGCAAGCGUUAUUCGGAAUUAUUGGGCGUAAAGGGCGCGUAGGCGGCCUGGCAAGUGACGGGUGAAAGCCCUCGGCUCAACCGAGGAACUGCCUGUCAUACUGCCGGGCUUGAGUCCGGGAGAGGUGAGUGGAAUUCCCAGUGUAGCGGUGAAAUGCGUAGAUAUUGGGAGGAACACCAGUGGCGAAGGCGGCUCACUGGACCGGAACUGACGCUGAGGCGCGAAAGCCAGGGGAGCAAACGGG